AGUUGUGAUGCAGGCAAAAAAUGCUGGCGGGCUUUUACAGUUCUCCUGAGCUUAGACCAAAAAAUAUUGGUAUUUAAUUGAUGGUAACUAUGUUGCAAGGAACACAGAGCCAUGGACAAGAGGCAUUUACUCAAGCAAUAAGUGAUGUUCACCCUCUCCUUUUAAAAUGCUGCCACUUUCAUGUAUGUCUAUCAAGCCAGUGGAAUGUUUUCCAAAUCAAAAUGGAAAAUCAAGUUUGCACUGCUCAUUCCAACCAAGACCAUGGAGUCCAGUAACAUUGCUUGCGGUAGAGAGUGAGGCUUCAAUAAGGUCUGCUCUGCUUUUCCAGCUACCUGCCCACCGCCGAGGCCGUGCUGGGUUACCUGGCCUCCCUGCACAUCAGUGUCACCAGCGGCGGACGUUACCCGGACGCCAUCCUGCUGGACGCCCCGGCCGUGACAGCGCCCUCCCCCUCCGCGGCGGGUCGCACCCCUCCGGCGGCGGGUCGGACCCCUCCAGCAGCCGCCGAAUCGCCGCUGGCCACGCUGGCCCGCCUGCGCGCCGCGCUCGAGGACGCAGCGCUGACGGCGGCGGCGGCGACCGGGGGCCGGUGCGCGGCGCUGAUGGUGUCCCAGCCGGCCGGGGCGCGGCCCGGUCGGCCCGUGGACCGGCGCACGGCGCGACUGGUGCCCACCGGGCCGGACACGCUGCAGCUGAUCUGCGGACCGGUCACGGCACACAUGGAGGUGACGCCGCACUGCGUCCGCCUGAGGAGUGUCGCUGUGACACCGUGACCGGUCUGCGUCCGCCUGAGGAGUGUCGCUGUGACACCGUGACCGGUCUGCGUCCGCCUGAGGAGUGUCGCUGUGACACCGUGACCGGACCGGCGUGUCGGUGUGGUCUGCGUCCGACGGAGCACGACUCGUGCUGGUCCCGACACCUGCUCGUUGGGUUUUCUGUGAUGUUUUGCCCAGGACCCUGUUCUUGCACUGAGGGUUCCGGUUCUUGGGAGCUAACCAAGUCUGAUGGCUGUGAACACUGAACAACAGCAUCUGUUACUGGUACUCUGUUGAAUGAGACAUUAUGUUACGGUGCCAGUUUUACGUGACGUUUGCAAAUAAAGUACCUGCUUGUUA
rnacentral:misc_RNA from 1 species